CGGACAUAUCGUACGAGAGAUUCCACCCAAUAUCUGAGCAUGACUUUCUCCACGUAGAAGUCCCCUUCUUCAGUGAGCUUACGCUCAAAAUCAUCCCGCACAGACAACAAAUACUUUUCAUCUGGACGACACGACUCCAAAAGAAAAUACCGCACCAUACCAAGGUGAUAGCAAUUAACUACUAACCCAUCUGGAAAACCUAACCAGAUAGGAAACGGUAGUGGUAUGAUUCCACCAGGCGAGAAGGCCACCAAAACGUACCUAUACCAG
rnacentral:misc_RNA from 1 species